rnacentral:rRNA from 1 species
ACAAUGACUCUCGGCAACGGAUAUCUCGGCUCUUGCAUCGAUGAAGAACGUAGCGAAAUGCGAUACUUGGUGUGAAUUGCAGAAUCCCGUGAACCAUCGAGUCUUUGAACGCAAGUUGCGCCCGAAGCCAUUAGGCUGAGGGCACGCCUGCCUGGGUGUCACACA